rnacentral:rRNA from 1 species
UACAGAGGGUGCGAGCGUUAAUCGGAAUUACUGGGCGUAAAGCGCGCGUAGGCGGUUAUGUAAGUUGGAUGUGAAAUCCCUGGGCUUAACCUGGGCACUGCAUUCAAAACUGCAUAGCUAGAGUAUGGGAGAGGAAGGUAGAAUUCCAGGUGUAGCGGUGAAAUGCGUAGAGAUCUGGAGGAAUACCGAUGGCGAAGGCAGCCUUCUGGCCUAAUACUGACGCUGAGGUGAGAAAGCAUGGGGAGCAAACAGG